CACGUAGGGGACGAGCGUUGUCCGGAUUCAUUGGGCGUAAAGCGCGCGUAGGCGGCUCGGAAAGUCGGUCGUGAAAUGCCGGGGCUCAACCCCGGGACUGCGUCCGAUACUCCCGAGCUGGAGGCAGGUAGGGGAGAUCGGAAUUCCUGGUGUAGCGGUGAAAUGCGCAGAUAUCAGGAGGAACACCGGUGGCGAAGGCGGAUCUCUGGGCCUUGCCUGACGCUGAGGCGCGAAGCCAGGGAGCGAACGGG
rnacentral:rRNA from 1 species